rnacentral:rRNA from 1 species
UUCUUUAUCACCGAGUGCUUGCACUCACCGAUAAAGAGUUGAGUGGCGAACGGGUGAGUAACACGUGGGCAACCUGCCCAAAAGAGGGGGAUAACACUUGGAAACAGGUGCUAAUACCGCAUAACCAUAGUUACCGCAUGGUAACUAUGUAAAAGGUGGCUAUGCUACCGCUUUUGGAUGGGCCCGCGGCGCAUUAGCUAGUUGGUGGGGUAAAGGCUUACCAAGGCAAUGAUGCGUAGCCGAACUGAGAGGUUGAUCGGCCACAUUGGGACUGAGACACGGCCCAAACUCCUACGGGAGGCAGCAGUAGGGAAUCUUCCACAAUGGGCGAAAGCCUGAUGGAGCAACGCCGCGUGGGUGAAGAAGGUCUUCGGAUCGUAAAACCCUGUUGUUAGAGAAGAAAGUGCGUGAGAGUAACUGUUCACGUUUCGACGGUAUCUAACCAGAAAGCCACGGCUAACUACGUGCCAGCAGCCGCGGUAAUACGUAGGUGGCAAGCGUUAUCCGGAUUUAUUGGGCGUAAAGGGAACGCAGGCGGUCUUUUAAGUCUGAUGUGAAAGCCUUCGGCUUAACCGGAGUAGUGCAUUGGAAACUGGGAGACUUGAGUGCAGAAGAGGAGAGUGGAACUCCAUGUGUAGCGGUGAAAUGCGUAGAUAUAUGGAAGAACACCAGUGGCGAAAGCGGCUCUCUGGUCUGUAACUGACGCUGAGGUUCGAAAGCGUGGGUAGCAAACAGGAUUAGAUACCCUGGUAGUCCACGCCGUAAACGAUGAAUGCUAAGUGUUG